UGCAGAAGCAGACUCUCUGGAUACAUCACUGGACAGUAGAUGGUUUGCUCUGAUCAGUGUGCUGCUAGUUUUGCUACUCUUCUACAUUCCAUAUUCCUGGUGCAAAAGUCAGGUACUGACACCAAGUCCCACUUCAUAUUUCAGAGAUUUCAAAAGGCCUGCGGUGCAGCCAGCUGUACUUCCACAACAGGAGGAGUCUCUUAAAAUUGACAGUAUAUUUGAAGAGUUUGAGAGCAGCCCUCAGUCAAGCUCCACCCACUAUGAGAAGAUCAGCAUUUAUGCCAACUCAGGGUAUGCCUGCAUCUCUGCCCCACCCAAAUCUCCCAGCAUGCUCCACUGCACUGAGGGUGCAGAGGUCAGAGCUGCAGAGAGCAGCAGCAUGAUGUACACCAAAGACUACUGCAAGCUCAGUCACACAGACUGAAUACAUACAUAUAUCACACAAAAACCAAAUGCACACAACAAAUGUCCCAGAUGGAAAAUUGGCUGCAAUAAUGGAGUAGUGCUACUGAUGGGAACUUUAAAAAGAAGUUUCUUAAAAGUCCGUCCCAGUGUGUUAACAUUUUUAAAAAAAGUUUUAAAAAUGAAAAACAGGCAAAUAAAUAAUCUUUCUCCUAGUAAAUACUUUAACGCAACUCUAAAAAAAAGAUCCUUUAAAUUACAAUUCUACCAGUCCAGUAUACCUUUACCAGCUAUUGCACUAUAACCAAUAUUUUCUAUAAUUCGGUAUUGUCAUAUUUACAUGUUUAUUAAUAUGUCAUACUUUUUGUUUGCGAUUUUAUGCAACUGGACCGUCAAACAGCAUAUUGAGAUUUAAUUGUUUAAAGUAUGAUGUUUAAAUGUCUCACUCCUGUAUCCUCUUUGGAAAAACAUUUAACAUGCUUAGCCUUUUAAUUUAAAAAAAAUAAAAAAGUUUCCCCCACAUGCUAGUUGUUUUCUAUAAAAUUGUGUAAGGAGUUGGCUCAAUAUUGAGAGUGGUCUUACUAUUCAGAGAUCCAUGGAUGGGUCUCAUUAAUAUUAAUUUUGCCAUUAUAC
ensembl:lncRNA